AGAGUUUGAUCCUGGCUCAGGAUGAACGCUAGCGGCAGGCUUAACACAUGCAAGUCGAACGGUAACAGGAAAAGCUUGCUUUUUGCUGACGAGUGGCGAACGGGUGCGUAACACGUAUGCAACCUACCUUUAACUGAGGGAUAGCCCAAAGAAAUUUGGAUUAAUACCUCAUAACAUUACGAGAUCUCAUGGUCAUGUAAUUAAAACUCCGGUGGUUAAAGAUGGGCAUGCGCAACAUUAGCUAGUUGGUAAGGUAAUGGCUUACCAAGGCAACGAUGUUUAGGGGGUCUUAAAGGAUGGUCCCCCACACUGGUACUGAGACACGGACCAGACUCCUACGGGAGGCAGCAGUGAGGAAUAUUGGUCAAUGGACGAAAGUCUGAACCAGCCAUGCCGCGUGAAGGAUGACGGCCCUACGGGUUGUAAACUUCUUUUAUAUAGGAAGAAACCCCUCUACGUGUAGAGGGCUGACGGUACUAUAAGAAUAAGCACCGCUAACU
rnacentral:rRNA from 1 species